GUUUGUAUGAAGUUAUAUAGAAUUUAACCUGCCCGUUGAAAUAAUUUUGAAAGGCCGCGGUAUAUUAACUGUGCAAAGGUAGCAUAAUCAUUAGCUUUUUAAUUGGGAGCUUGUAUGAAGGGUUGGACAAAGAAAAAGCUGUCUUUAUAUUUUGGUUUGAAUUUAACUUUUAAGUGAAAAGGCUUAAAUAAUUUUAAGGGACGAUAAGACCCUAUAAAUCUUUUAUACAAAUAAUUUUAUUAAUAAAAAUAAUAUUUGUUUAGAAUAAAUAAAAUAAUAAGUAUUUUGUUGGGGUGAUAAGAAUAUAGAAAUUAACUGUUCUAUAAAUUAAACAAAUUUGUUUGGUUAAAUUUAAUAGAUCCUUUUUAGAGAUUAAUAGUUAAAGUUACUUUAGGGAUAACAGCGUUAUUUUUUUUGAGAGUUCUUAUCGAAAAAAAAGUUUGCGACCUCGAUGUUGAAUUAAAAUUUCUUUAUGGUGUAGGAGCUAUAUUAUUGGAAAGUCUGUUCGACUUUU
rnacentral:rRNA from 1 species